GAACGGGUGAGUAAUGCAUCGGAACGUGCCCAGUAGUGGGGGAUAACCACUCGAAAGAGUGGCUAAUACCGCAUAUUCUCUACGGAGGAAAGGGGGGGAUCUUCGGACCUCCCGCUAUUGGAGCGGCCGAUGUCGGAUUAGCUAGUUGGUGGGGUAAUGGCUCACCAAGGUAACGAUCCGUAGCUGGUCUGAGAGGACGACCAGCCACACUGGGACUGAGACACGGCCCAGACUCCUACGGGAGGCAGCAGUGGGGAAUCUUGGACAAUGGGGGCAACCCUGAUCCAGCAAUCCCGCGUGUGUGAUGAAGGCCUUCGGGUUGUAAAGCACUUUUUGCAGGGAAGAAAUAGCCCGGGUGAAUAAUCCGGGUGACUGACGGUACCUGCGGAAUAAGCACCGGCUAACUACGUGCCAGCAGCCGCGGUAAUACGUAGGGUGCAAGCGUUAAUCGGAAUUACUGGGCGUAAAG
rnacentral:rRNA from 1 species